rnacentral:rRNA from 1 species
GGCAGUUAGAGGCGAUGAAGGACGUGUAAGUCUGCGAAAAGCUGUGGUGAGCCGACAAAAUGCAUUUGAGCCACAGAUGUCCGAAUGGGGAAACCCACCUGUUUACAGGUAUCGUUAACUGAAUACAUAGGUUAACGAGGCAAACGAGGGGAACUGAAACAUCUAAGUACCCGGAGGAAAGGAAAUCAAUAUGAUACUCCCCUAGUAGCGGCGAGCGAACGGGGAGCAGCCCUUAAGCUGUUUAGAAUUUAGUGGAAUCCUUUGGGAAGAGGAGCGAUACAAGGUGAUAGCCCUGUACACGACGGAUUCUUUACAGUGAAAUCGAGUAGGUCGGGACACGUGUUAUCUUGACUGAAUAUGGGGGGACCAUCCUCCAAGGCUAAAUACUCCUAACUGACCGAUAGUGAACCAGUACCGUGAGGGAAAGGUGAAAAGCACCCCGACGAGGGGAGUGAAACAGACCCUGAAACUGGACGCCUACAAGCAGUCGGAGGGCGAAAGCCUGACGGCGUACCUUUUGUAUAAUGGGUCAGCGACUUCGUCUCACGUGCAAGCUUAAGCCGAUAGGUGUAGGCGCAGCGAAAGCGAGUCUUAAUAGGGCGCAUGAGUUAGAUGGAUCAGACCCGAAACCGAGUGAUCUAGGCAUGAUCAGGAUGAAGGUAAGGUAACACUUACUGGAGGUCCGAACCCACACCUGUUGAAAAAGGUCGGGAUGAAUUGUGCCUAGGGGUGAAAGGCCAAUCAAACUCGGAGAUAGCUGGUUCUCC